rnacentral:piRNA from 1 species
CUGGAAAGUCCACGUUUUUUGCCAACAGCA